UACGAAGGGUGCAAGCGUUAAUCGGAAUUACUGGGCGUAAAGCGUGCGCAGGCGGUUCGUUGUGUCGGUGGUGAAAUCCCCGGGCUUAACCUGGGAAUGGCCAUGGAAACUGGCGAACUGGAGUGCGGCAGAGGGGGGUGGAAUUCCGCGUGUAGCAGUGAAAUGCGUAGAGAUGCGGAGGAACACCGAUGGCGAAGGCAGCCCCCUGGGCUAGCACUGACGCUCAGGCACGAAAGCGUGGGGAGCAAACAGG
rnacentral:rRNA from 1 species